GCGGAGGGAUCAUUACACAAAUAUGAAGGCGGGCUGGAACCUCUCGGGGUUACAGCCUUGCUGAAUUAUUCACCCUUGUCUUUUGCGUACUUCUUGUUUCCUUGGUGGGUUCGCCCACCACUAGGACAAACAUAAACCUUUUGUAAUUGCAAUCAGCGUCAGUAACAAAUUAAUAAUUACAACUUUCAACAACGGAUCUCUUGGUUCUGGCAUCGAUGAAGAACGCAGCGAAAUGCGAUAAGUAGUGUGAAUUGCAGAAUUCAGUGAAUCAUCGAAUCUUUGAACGCACAUUGCGCCCUUUGGUAUUCCAAAGGGCAUGCCUGUUCGAGCGUCAUUUGUACCCUCAAGCUUUGCUUGGUGUUGGGCGUCUUGUCUCUAGCUUUGCUGGAGACUCGCCUUAAAGUAAUUGGCAGCCGGCCUACUGGUUUCGGAGCGCAGCACAAGUCGCACUCUCUAUCAGCAAAGGUCUAGCAUCCACUAAGCCUUUUUUUCAACUUUUGACCUCGGAUCAGGUAGGGAUACCCGCUGAACUUAAGCAUAUCAAUAAGCGGAGGAAAU
rnacentral:rRNA from 1 species